rnacentral:lncRNA from 1 species
CCAAGGUUACCAAGGUUGCCAUUAAGAAGAAAUAGGCGCCAUCUAGCGAAAGGUUUUUGUUCAUGGUCGUUGCUUUUGUUGCUUCAGACUCUUAUCCCGGGCGAGCAAUGAUCCGUGAGUCAUUUAAUUACUGUAUUUCUAUUCCUGCUUCGGCUAAAAUCCUGUGCCGUGAGACUGAUUUGUUGUGAAAUGCAAGUUAUUAGAUUGCACUUGUUUUCUCCUCCUUUUGCCAAAUGUUGCAUGUUUCUCUCUAUCUGUUUUUUAUUUACAACACUUUGGUUUUGCAUCCAUUCAUUGUCUGAAUGGUCUGGUUAUCUUUUGAACUCUGGCGGCUGAGAGAUUGCUGGUGGUCCGUCUGUCCUUGGCGGCUUGCAUCUCCUCAAGAUUUAGGAUUUAUGAUUGCUUGUCACAUGAAUAUGUAUGUAGGGAUAAUGUGUGAUUGCCAUAUGGCACCGCACUAGUUUGCAGAACCUGGC